rnacentral:rRNA from 1 species
CGCGUAUAGAAUCUGCCUUACACUGAGGGAUAGCCUUUGGAAACGAAGAUUAAUACCUCAUAGUAUUAUUGAAUGGCAUCAUUUGAUAAUUAAAGGUUACGGUGUAAGAUGACUAUGCGUCCUAUUAGUUAGUUGGUAAGGUAACGGCUUACCAAGGCAGCGAUAGGUAGGGGUCCUGAGAGGGAGAUCCCCCACACUGGUACUGAGACACGGACCAGACUCCUACGGGAGGCAGCAGUGAGGAAUAUUGGACAAUGGAGGCAACUCUGAUCCAGCCAUGCCGCGUGAAGGAUGACUGCC